GUUCUUAUAGUUGAAUAACAGCGGUGGUUUUUCAGGCCAUAUGUCUUGGUUAAAGUCCGAGUGGGAAUU
rnacentral:tRNA from 1 species